AGUUCUCAGAGACUAUAAGAGCUAGAGCCACCAAAUGUUUACAACAGUCCUCUGCUGUAUGCCCACACGGAAACCAGUGUAUUUCAAAAUUUGAAAAAAACCACUGUCUUACUGAGUGCCGGGUAUAAAAGUUUUGACGCUUAAGAAGUGUCUAACACGUUUCUACUCGUUUGAUUUCUCUUCAAAAUUGUGAAUAAACCAGAUUUUCGCAGGUUGCCCUUACAUAUGUACAUCCACUUUUGUUUCUAUGGUAUUUGAGCUUGAGCUCUUCGAGUACCGGGUAUACAAAAUUACAAAGUAUAAUAGAAAUUUAGAAAUGUAAAAUGUUCCUAAAUCAGUCAGUACUUUUUUGCAGUCCAACGAUCCAAAGGUAAUUGAAUAUUAAUGCUACUUAAAAUUCCAUCCAUAUCUUAGCUUAGGGAGCAGCUUAAAAUUUUAAUUAUAUGAUUUUUUCUAGCUUGCCGUGAAUGCUCACUUGCAGCUGUCCAAUUAGAUGAUCUGUAAGGUAUCUUUAAGGUAUCGUUAAGCUAUCGGUUUCUUGAUUACCACAUUAACAUUAAUGAAUAUUUAAUAAUGGAAUGAUCCAUAGAGUUUGUAGUUCAUCUCUGGAGAUAAUUUCUUUCCCAAAUGUGUGAUCACCAAAAGGAAAAUAAACGCAG
rnacentral:lncRNA from 1 species